rnacentral:rRNA from 1 species
GGUGGUCCCACCUGACCCCAUGCCGAACUCAGAAGUGAAACGCCGUAGCGCCGAUGGUAGUGUGGGGUCUCCCCAUGUGAGAGUAGGGAACCGCCAGGU